rnacentral:lncRNA from 1 species
AAUAUACUACGGCCUUUUUUUUAUGCCAAACAUAUUAUUGCGAAACAUUAUUUUUCUUAAUCAAUUUCAAUUCUAAAUAAAUUAUUUUUUUUGGAUAGCUUAUAAUGCAUUAAAUAUUCUACGACCUCUAAUUGUGUCAAACAUAUUAUUUCCAAACAUAAUUUUCUUAAUCAAUUUUUAUUCAUAAAUAUCUUACGCUAUAAAUAAAUUACGAACUCUCUCUUCUUCAAUCGAACCCAUCCGAUUUCAGCACCGUCCCCUCCUCUUUUCUUU